UGAUGAAAAAGGCAAAACCUGUGAAAGCAGGUGACGCAAAGCAUCCAGCCUAAGGGGACACCUAUGGCAGUGGCGCUACCGCA
rnacentral:ncRNA from 1 species